rnacentral:rRNA from 1 species
GAUGACUAUGCGUCCCAUUAGUUAGUUGGUAAGGUAACGGCUUACCAAGGCAGCGAUGGGUAGGGGCCCUGAGAGGGGGAUCCCCCACACUGGUACUGAGACACGGACCAGACUCCUACGGGAGGCAGCAGUGAGGAAUAUUGGACAAUGGGCGGGAGCCUGAUCCAGCCAUGCCGCGUGCAGGAAGACGGUCCUAUGGAUUGUAAACUGCUUUUGUACGGGAAGAACAAGGGGCACGUGUGCCCUUCUGACGGUACCGUAAGAAUAAGGAUCGGCUAACUCCGUGCCAGCAGCCGCGGUAAUACGGAGGAUCCGAGCGUUAUCCGGAAUCAUUGGGUUUAAAGGGUCCGUAGGCGGGCCAUUAAGUCAGGGGUGAAAGUCUGCGGCUCAACCGUAGAAUUGCCCUUGAUACUGGUGGUCUUGAGUUAUGGUGAAGUAACUAGAA